rnacentral:miRNA from 1 species
CCGAGCCUGCCCCUUCCGUCGCA